GACGAACGCUGGCGGCGUGCCUAAUACAUGCAAGUAGAACGCUGAAGGAGGAGCUUGCUCUUCUGGAUGAGUUGCGAACGGGUGAGUAACGCGUAGGUAACCUGCCUGGUAGCGGGGGAUAACUAUUGGAAACGAUAGCUAAUACCGCAUAACAGUAGAUGUUGCAUGGCAUUUACUUAAAAGGUGCAAUUGCAUCACUACCAGAUGGACCUGCGUUGUAUUAGCUAGUUGGUGGGGUAACGGCUCACCAAGGCGACGAUACAUAGCCGACCUGAGAGGGUGAUCGGCCACACUGGGACUGAGACACGGCCCAGACUCCUACGGGAGGCAGCAGUAGGGAAUCUUCGGCAAUGGACGGAAGUCUGACCGAGCAACGCCGCGUGAGUGAAGAAGGUUUUCGGAUCGUAAAGCUCUGUUGUAAGAGAAGAACGAGUGUGAGAGUGGAAAGUUCACACUGUGACGGUAUCUUACCAGAAAGGGACGGCUAACUACGUG
rnacentral:rRNA from 1 species